AUACGGAGGGUGCAAGCGUUACUCGGAAUCACUGGGCGUAAAGCGCGCGCAGGCGGGCUGAUAAGUUGGAUGUGAAAGCCUACGGCUCAACCGUAGAACUGCAUCCAAAACUGUCAGUCUAGAGUCUGGGAGGGGAAGAUGGAAUUAGUUGUGUAGGGGUAAAAUCCGUAGAGAUAACUAGGAAUACCAAAAGCGAAGGCGAUCUUCUGGAACAGUACUGACGCUGAGGCGCGAAAGCGUGGGGAGCAAACAGGAUUAGAAACCCUGUAGUCC
rnacentral:rRNA from 1 species